GCAAGGUAUCAAGGCAAUUUAUGUCCUGGGAGUGGGAGACAGAAAGAAGAAUGAAUUCUGUAUUGGGGCAGGACUUGGAAAUAAACUGUGGCAAUGAUAGCCAAGCUCUGACUAGCAGAAUUGGAGACCUUUUUCCUAAUCAAUUUUUUUUCCUACUAAUUAGUUUAAUUUGCUGACUGGUGAACAAAUUAGAGGCUGUAUAGAUGGAAGUGAAAAGGAGGCUGAGAACUGAGCCUUGACUAUUCAC